GCUCCAGUUGAUCGGCGUCUUUGCUGUCCUGAUAAUUACCUACGUAAAGACCAGGAAGUACCUGCCAACAUCAAACGAUAACGCGAGAAGUGUCCUUUUCAGCGGGAACGUAGCAGAUCAAAAUCAAGCCGGAAAGUACCAAGGAAGUUCCACACCACCAAACCAAUGAUGUGGAUUCAUCGAAUACGACGAAGCCUACGAAAGC